GGCCGCGUAGCUCAGUUGGCAGAGCAUUGGGCUAGUAUUCCAAAGGUCGUAGGUUCGAUUCCCACCGUGGCCA